CGGAGAGGGAGCAUGAGAAACGGCUACCACAUCUAAGGAAGGCAGCAGGCGCGCAAAUUACCCAAUCCUGACACAGGGAGGUAGUGACAAGAAAUAACAAAGCAAGCACCAAUGGUGUUUUGCUAUUGGAAUGAGUAGAAUUUAAACCUCUUUUCGACUAUCAAUUGGAGGGCAAGUCUGGUGCCAGCAGCCGCGGUAAUUCCAGCUCCAAUAGCGUAUAUUAAAGUUGUUGCGGUAAAAAAGCUCGUAGUUGGAUUUCUGUUGCGAAUGGCCGGUCUUCACUACGUGAAUGUAUCUGGCUCAAUCGUGGCAUCCUCAUAGGAAACGUUGCUGCGCUUCACUGCGUGGUGCGGUGCCUAUGACUUUUACUUUGAGGAAAUUAGAGUGUUCACGGCAGGCAAUCGCCCUGAAUAUGUUAGCAUGGAAUAAUAAUAUAGGAUCUUGGUUCUAUUUUGUUGGUUUCUAGAGCUAAGAUAAUGGUUAAUAGGAACAAUUGGGGGCAUUUGUAUUAACAUGUCAGAGGUGGAAUUCUUGGAUUAUGUUACGACAAACUACUGCGAAAGCAUUUGCCAAGGAUGUUUUCAUUGAUCAAGAACGAAAGUAAGGGGAUCGAAGAUGAUUAGAUACCGUCGUAGUCUUUACCAUAAACUAUGUCAACUCGGGAUGUAGCGUCGUUCUUUUUAUGACUCGCUGCGCACCGUAUGAGAUAUCAAAGUUUUUGGAUUCCGGGGGAGUAUGGUCGCAAGGCUGAGACUUAAAGGAAUUGACGGAAGGGCACCACCAGGAGUGGAGCGUGCGGUUUAAUUCGACUCAACACGGGAAAACUCAUCAGGUCCAGACAUAGUGAGGAAGGACAGAAUGAUAGUUCUGUCUUGAUUGUAUGGGUGGCGGGGCAUGUCCGAUUUUAGUGAGCGGAGUGAUUGGUUAGUUUAAUUACGUUAACGAACGAGACCUCAACAUAUUAAAUAGACCAUCCUAUCAUAAGAUAAGCUGUUGUUUUAUUAGAGGGACUUUGUUCAGUUCAGGGUAGGGAAAUUUGAGUAUAAAUCAGGUAUGUAAUGACAUUAGAUGGUCUGGGCUCCACGCGCGCUACACUGAUGCGUUCAACGAGAGUAAAACCAGGCCAGGCAGGGUAGUGUAAUGUUCUGAACUCGCAUCGUGAAGGGGAUAGAUUAUUUCAAUUUUUAAUCUUCAGAGAGGAAAUUAUAGUAAAUUGAUCUCAUCAGAUUGGAUUGAUUACGUCCCUUCCCUCACUACACACCUCCCGUCGCUUGUUCCGAUGGAGUGGUUCGGUGAAUACUUUGGCCUGACACCGGUAUGGGUUCAGCUCAUUUUGGCGAAGGAAAAUAGAGUUAACCUCAUCGAGGAGAAGAGAGAGA
rnacentral:rRNA from 1 species